ensembl:snRNA U6 U6 spliceosomal RNA
CUGCUCACUUCAAUAGCACAUACACUAAAUUGGAGCAAUGCACAGAAGAUUAGCAUGGCCUCUGUGCAAGUAUAAUGCACACAUUUGUGAAGUGGUCAUUACUUUA